rnacentral:rRNA from 1 species
GACGAACGCUGGCGGCGCGCCUAACACAUGCAAGUCGAACGGAGCUUAGAGAGCUUGCUUUUUAAGCUUAGUGGCGAACGGGUGAGUAACGCGUGAGUAACCUGCCCUAGAGUGGGGGACAACAGUUGGAAACGACUGCUAAUACCGCAUAAGCCCACGGUACCGCAUGGUACUGAGGGAAAAGGAUUUAUUCGCUUUAGGAUGGACUCGCGUCCAAUUAGCUAGUUGGUGAGGUAACGGCCCACCAAGGCGACGAUUGGUAGCCGGACUGAGAGGUUGAACGGCCACAUUGGGACUGAGACACGGCCCAGACUCCUACGGGAGGCAGCAGUGGGGGAUAUUGCACAAUGGGGGAAACCCUGAUGCAGCGACGCCGCGUGGAGGAAGAAGGUUUUCGGAUUGUAAACUCCUGUCGUUAGGG